CCAUGGNCCGGGUACCCAGAGCCCUCUNGGUGCGGUUAUUCCCNUCCCAUUAUUGGUGACACGACUUGAGGGUUAGGAGUUUCGGCUCCUUCCCUUUAAUCUCAGCCGCACGACUGUGUGUGUUCGUGGCAAGUUGCUUUCACUUAACUGUGAAUACAAUCCAUAAACCCUAUGUCAUUGCAGCCAAAGAAACAAAUGAACAACGUUGUGAGCUCAAGCUCGGACGAAAGUCUGUUUUUGGGUGAACGGCAUUGAACAUCUAUGGAUUAGACCUCAGAUGAAGUGGGAAGACCCCCUGAAUUUAAGCACAUUAUUAAGGGGAGGAAAAGAAACUAACAAGGGAUUCCCCUAGUUAACGGCGAGUGAAGCGGGAAAGAAGCCUCAAAAUUAAAAUCCCGCUGGUUCUAACAGCCCUGGCGGNAGUUGUAAUCUAGAAGAGGCUCUCUCAGUGCCCAGCCCUGGUUAUAAGUUCCCUUGGAAACGGGGCCAUCAUAGAGGGUGAGAAUCCCGUCUUUGAGCCGGAGCUAAGCGCGUACGAGGAGUUUUCUAAGAGUCGCGUUGCUUGGGAGUGCAGCGCUAAAUGGGUGGUAAAGUUCAUCUAAAGCUAAAUACUGGCGAGAGACCGAUAGCGAACAAGUACCGUGAGGGAAAGAUGAAAAGAACUUUGAA
rnacentral:rRNA from 1 species